CUGGGAUGGGGUCAUGGCGCCUGGAACCCUCCUCCUGCUGCUCUCGGGGGCCCUGGCACUGACCAAGACCUGGGCGGGCUCCCACUCCUUGAGUUAUUUCCACACCGCCGUGUCCCGGCCGCAGGAGCCCAGCUUCAUCGCCUUGCGCUACGUGGACGACACUCAGUUUCGACCUCGAGUCCAAGGACCGAGGAUAGAGCCGCGGGAGCCUUGGAUGGACCACCAGGAGCCGGAGUAUUGGGACCACCAGACAAGGAAUGCCAAGACCUGCACACAGACUUUCCGAGAGAACCUGGGGACCCCGCUCCGCUACUGCAACCAGAGCGAGGCAGGGUCUUACACCAUCCGGAGGAAGUAGGGCUGCGACCUGAGCCGCUGGCAUCUCCUCCGCGGGUACCAGCAGGAGGCUUAGGAUGGCAAGGAUUACAUCUCCCUGAACGAGGACCUGAGCUCCUGGACCGCCGCAGACACAGUGGCUCAGAUCACCCAGGUCAAGUGGGAGGCGGCCUGUGAGGCGAAGAGGCUGAGAGUCUGCGUGGGGGACGAGUGCGUGGAGUGGCUCUGCACACACCUGGAGAAUGGGAAGGAGACACUGCAGCGCGCGGAAACCCCUGCAAAGACACACAUGACCCACCACCCCCUCUCUGACCAUGAGGACACCCUGAGGUGCUGGGCCCUGGGCUUCUACCCUGAGGAGAUCAUACUUACCUGGCAGUAGGAUGGAGAGGACCAAACUAAGGACACCAAGCUUUUCGAGACCAGACCUGCAGGGGAUGGAACUUUCCAGAAGUGGGCAGCCGUGGUGCUCUGCCCCUUCCGGGGCAGAGCAGAGAUACAUGUGCCAUGUGCAGCACGAGGGGCUGCCGGAGCCCCUCACCCUGAGAUGGGGUAAGGAGGGGAGUGGAGAGUCAUGUCUCUUCUCAGGGAAAGCAGAAGCCCUUCUGGAGCCUUCAGUAGGGUGAGGGCUGAGGCCUGGGUUCAUGGCCCCUCACCGUCCCCUCCUUUCCCAGAGCCAUAUUCCCGUCCCACCAUCCCCAUCGUGGUCAUUGUUGCUUGCCUGGCUAUCCUAGGAGCUGUGAUCACUGUGGUAGUUGUCACUGUUGUGAUGUGGAGGAGGAAGAGCUCAGGUGGAGAAAGAGGGAGCUACUCUCAGGCUGCGUGCAGUGACAGCGCCCAGGGCUCUGAUGUGUCUCUCAGGGCUUGUAAGCCUGAGACAGCUGCCUUGUGUGGGACUGAGAUGCGGGAUUUCUUCACACCUCCCCUUUGUGACUUAAAGAGCCUCUGGCAUCUCUUUCUGCAAAAACUUCUGAAUGUGUCUGCGUCCCUGUUAGCAUAAUGUGAGGAGGUGGAGAGACAGCCCACCCUGUGUCCACCAUGACCCCUGUCCCCACGCUGACCUGUGUUCCCUCCCCAGUCAUCUUUCCUGUUCCAGAGAGGUGGGGCUGGAUGUCUCCAUCUCUGUCUCAACUUCAUGGUGCACUGAGCUGCAACCUCCUACUUCCCUACUGAAAAUAAGAAC